GUCCACGCUGUAAACGAUGAGUGCUAAGUGUUAGAGGGUUUCCGCCCUUUAGUGCUGAAGUUAACGCAUUAAGCACUCCGCCUGGGGAGUACGGUCGCAAGACUGAAACUCAAAGGAAUUGACGGGGGCCCGCACAAGUGGUGGAGCAUGUGGUUUAAUUCGAAGCAACGCGAAGAACCUUACCAGGUCUUGACAUCCUCUGACAACCCUAGAGAUAGGGCUUUCCCUUCGGGGACAGAGUGACAGGUGGUGCAUGGUUGUCGU
rnacentral:rRNA from 1 species